ACAUGACCUGCUCCACAUAUGAUGUCAUUUCCUCCUUAAGAAAAGACUGGCCAGACUCCGAGGCUUUCUGAGUUAUUUAAUAUAAAGUAGUGUGUGAGUCAAGUGCGGAUUUAUGGCAUGUCAACAGGUUUACUGCAAUAUCUUUAUAAAUUGUAUAUAUAAUAUUUAGAAGAAUCUUUGUGUAGAAAUGCCAUGUGGUGUUUGGUUAUAGGCGGCCAUGUUGAUUUUAGGACUAAGAAAGCAGCAAAAAUGUCAACUAUGAUACCUGUCAACUAUGUUACAAAAAGUCCUGCAGUUAUAUAUUGACCCAUCUGCAGUUAAACUCGGCAAAGUUGCUGCUAGCUAAAGCAAAGUGUCAGUUCAGUGUGUGUGUGUGUGUGUGUGUGUGUGUGUGUGUGUGUGUGUGUGUGUGUGUGUGUGUGUGUGUGUGUGUGUGUGUGUGUGUGUGUGUGUGUGUGCAGUCAGAAGUUCAAAAGGUUAUUGGGAGGUUUUUUACGGCCCCACGCCGCCCCUCCAACACACACAUACAGAGUUUCAUGCCCGACUAUGCUACUGAAACCAGCAGCAACCCAAGACACCAUCCAUCAGCAUUCCACCUUAGCGUUUUACUUUUGUUGCUGCCUGCUGCUCGUAUUUAUAGCUCGGUAACGAAGGGCAGAAAAAGCGUGGAGGGGAAGGGGAAGGUGUCAAGCUGAUUGCAUAAUGCUGACGCUUGUUACCUCCAGCCGCUGCAGGUACUCGCCUUCCAGCUCCUCCCGCCUGCUGCUUCGCAAUCUGCAGCCGAGAUCCCAACGGCCGUCAUCACUAAAGGUGAUAAUUUUAUUGCCCCGCACAAAGUUAUAAACACCCCAAAUGAUAUAUGUGAGACCUCCAGCACAAUCGGCGCACACCGUACGUUUCAUACAUGGAGGCUGAGGCGGAAAAUAGCUCAUCCCUGACACAGAUAACCAUGCAGCCAUAUGGUAGGAGGCCUGUUCUCUGAGGGGGGAGAUGAGCGAUAGAAGUGCAGCCAGAGUGAGGAGCUCCAAGCUUCAGAGAGAUUUCCAUCCAGCUUGAGGGAAAAAAGGCUUGUUGGACUGUCUGACAGAUAGAGACUGUUUUCACAAGACAUAAUUAGCCAGAAGAAACCGGUUUUAGUUUCAUGUUUAAAACUCUCAGAUUUUCAGAAGUGUUCCCGAGAGAUGACUCACAGAAGUCUCAUUAUAACAGCAGCACGGGCCUUUUUAUCUCUGCCUCCUUCUCAGCUGCAAUACGAGAUGUCGACGGCAGACUGGAGAGGAAGACAACAGGUCCCUCUCUAUCUCCCCACACAUCCACCAACCACUGGAACACAUCUCCAAAGUUCUGCUGGUCCAGCUCAGCUUCCCCUCAGAAGAAGUGCAACCACCUGCCAGAUGAAGGAGCCUUUUGAGAGGCAGCUGGCAUCGUGAUUGGACUGUACUUUGGUCUGUUCCAAUCCAGCUUCAGCUCCAGAGACGGCAGGCGGGACGAGUCAACGGAGGCCGGAUGGACGAAGACAUGCAGCUGAGUACAAUCCAGAAAACAACAGAGGAGGAAUGCAGCAGCCCAGGGCCAGAACAACCAGAGUAGCAUCGUAUUUCUCUUAGAAAACAUCAUAGUAUAGCCUUUGAUCAAAGAACUACAGACUCUUCACAACCUGCUCAAACUCUUGGUACAGGACCUCACCACACGGGUCAAGAAGGUUUCCUUCUCAUUUCUACUCUGAAGCUCACCUUGUCCUGCUCAAACUGCUGACAAAUGUUUCUGCUGCUCUAAAGUCUGAUCUCCAGAACUUCCUAAAAACUCUCAAAGUCUCUUCUGCUGCAGGUUGCUUUGUAGAACUGUUCCAGAAAACCUCACUAAACCACAUGGAGGGGCCUCAAGAUAGUCGUCCAAAUGAAACUGUACAAAAACCAAACUAGCACAACCCAAACACUAAAGUCUCCUGCAGCCUACCAGAGAACCUCUGAGAACAGAGAAUCAGGACAGGAACUCUUACCUUCUGGACAACCAACGUUGGUUCUCAAACAAGAAUACAGAAUGUGUCUGACCAAAAACCUCUGAAGACUCACUACAGCCAAGAUAAAGACACAACUCAGCUGUACCAAAUCCACUAAUCACUGCACACAUUAGCACCAUGUGCUAACUGUGGCUAAAGAACCACAUUUACCAAGACAACUAUCCAGUCCAAAGCCCUAAAACACACCAAGAAACACAUUAAAGACGAUUUUACUGCUGGAAGCUGCAAGCCAACGCCUAACCAACAAACCAAAGCAACGGAGCCAAACCCAGUUCUGUGGUGAAGAGAAACAGAGGAAAUGUUUGGCUGCAGCCACAUGAAGCAGGAAGACACUGAGCUGCUCAGGUGUUCCUGAUAACACCAAGCAGCCACCUGGACAGCCAAUAGGAACACAGCUUCCUGGAAGUCCAGAGGGCUGGGUUAGUGAAGGAAAUUUAGUUUAAAGUUGAAGCAGAAAGUUAACAAAGAAAGUUGAAAACCACCUUCUGAUACCUGAAAUCUCUGAGUUUUCACACAAAGAACGCCUGAACAUGUCAAACUGGUUCCAUAGUAGAACCAUCAUUGUAAAAACGUCAUAGUAUGGUGUGUUGCUCAAAAAACAUUACAACCCGGCUGUCUAGGGUCGCCGAGGAGCAACACAAAAACAGGACAAACUUUGGUUUCCAGGGGGUUAGGAGGAUAUUUAUUUGAAAGAGGAAGUUUACAACAACACAACAUGUGAGCAGAAAAAUCACAGUCUGUCUUUAGUUCAGCUGAAAAUAUUAUUUUUUGUCUUUUUUAUUGACCAAACUUUUCAGGAAGUAGAAAGAAAAACGUCUUAGUUCAGUAUGUCGUCCAAAAUGUGGAACAAAACGCCAUAGUUUAGUAUGUGGUCCAAAAUGUGGAAAAAAACUCCAUAGUUUAGUGUGUCAUUAACGAUGUCACUAAAACAUAAGAUAUAUUUUAGAUGACAUACUAAACUAUUACGUUUUCUUUUUCUUUAAGGUUAUUUUUUUUGGCUUUACUCAAUAGGCGCAGUGUGAGACAGACAGGAAAUGGGAAAGACAUGCAGCAAAGGGCCACGAGCGGGAAUCGAACCUGCACCACUGCAUCAGGGACCAGUCCCUAUACAUAAGUCACCCACUUAACCUGUUGAGCUAUACGGACGACAAACUAUGAUGUUUUUUUCAUGUUUUGGACGACACACUAAACCAUGACGUUUUUGUUACAUUUUUGACGACAAACUAUGAUGUUUUUUUCACAUUUUGGACGACAUACUAAACUAUGACAUUUUUGUCCUAUUUUGGACGACAUACUAAAAUAUGACUUUUUUGUCAUAUUUUGGACGACAUACUAAACUAUGACGUUUUGUCAUAUUUUGGAUGACAUACUAAACUAUGACGUUUUUGUCAUAUUUUGGAUGACAUACUAAACUAUGACGUUUUUGUCAUAUUUUGGACGACAUACUAAACUAUAACGUUUUGUCAUAUUUUGGACGACAUACUAAACUAUGACGUUUUUGUCAUAUUUUGGAUGACAUACUAAACUGACGUUUUUGUCAUAUUUUGGACGACAUACUAAACUAUGACGUUUUGUCAUAUUUUGGAUGACAUACUAAACUAUGACGUUUUUGUCAUAUUUUGGACGACAUACUAAACUAUAACGUUUUGUCAUAUUUUGGACGACAUACUAAACUAUGACGUUUUUGUCAUAUUUUGGAUGACAUACUAAACUGACGUUUUUGUCAUAUUUUGGACGACAUACUAAACUAUGACGUUUUGUCAUAUUUUGGAUGACAUACUAAACUAUGACGUUUUUGUCAUAUUUUGGAUGACAUACUAAACUAUGACGUUUUUGUCAUAUUUUGGACGACAUACUAAACUGACGUUUUUGUCAUAUUUUGGACGACAUACUAAACUAUGACAUUUUGGUCACAUUUUGGACGACAUACUAAACUAUGAAGGUUUUUUUCAUAUUUUGGAUGACAUACUAAACUGACUUUUUUUCACAUUUUGGACGACAUACUAAACUGUGAUGUUUUUGUCAUAUUUUGGACGACAAACUAUGAUGUUUUUUUCAUGUUUUGGACGACUUACUAAACUGACGUUUUUGGUCACAUUUUGGACGACAUACUAAACUAUGACAUUUUUGUCAGAUUUUGGACGACAUACUAAACUAUGACGUUUUUGUCAUAUUUUGGAUGACAUACUAAACUGACGUUUUUUUCAUAUUUUGGACGACAUACUAAACUAUGACUUUUUUUCACAUUUUGGACGACAUACUAAACUAUGACGUUUUGUCAUAUUUUGGAUGACAUACUAAACUAUGACGUUUUUGUCAUACUUUGGAUGACAUACUAAACUAUGACGUUUUUGUCAUAUUUUGGACGACAUACUAAACUAUGACGUUUUUGUCAUAUUUUGGAUGACAUACUAAACUGACGUUUUGUCAUAUUUUGGAUGACAUACUAAACUAUGACGUUUUUGUCAUAUUUUGGAUGACAUACUAAACUAUAACGUUUUGUCAUAUUUUGGACGACAUACUAAACUAUGACGUUUUGUCAUAUUUUGGACGACAUACUAAACUAUGACGUUUUUGUCAUAUUUUGGAUGACAUACUAAACUAUGACGUUUUUGUCAUAUUUUGGACGACAUACUAAACUGACGUUUUUGUCAUAUUUUGGACGACAUACUAAACUAUGACAUUUUGGUCACAUUUUGGACGACAUACUAAACUAUGAAGGUUUUUUUCAUAUUUUGGAUGACAUACUAAACUGACUUUUUUUCACAUUUUGGACGACAUACUAAACUGUGAUGUUUUUGUCAUAUUUUGGACGACAAACUAUGAUGUUUUUUUCAUGUUUUGGACGACUUACUAAACUGACGUUUUUGGUCACAUUUUGGACGACAUACUAAACUAUGACAUUUUUGUCAGAUUUUGGACGACAUACUAAACUAUGACGUUUUUGUCAUAUUUUGGAUGACAUACUAAACUGACGUUUUUUUCAUAUUUUGGACGACAUACUAAACUAUGACUUUUUUUCACAUUUUGGACGACAUACUAAACUAUGACGUUUUGUCAUAUUUUGGAUGACAUACUAAACUAUGACGUUUUUGUCAUACUUUGGAUGACAUACUAAACUAUGACGUUUUUGUCAUAUUUUGGACGACAUACUAAACUAUGACGUUUUUGUCAUAUUUUGGAUGACAUACUAAACUGACGUUUUGUCAUAUUUUGGAUGACAUACUAAACUAUGACGUUUUUGUCAUAUUUUGGAUGACAUACUAAACUAUAACGUUUUGUCAUAUUUUGGACGACAUACUAAACUAUGACGUUUUGUCAUAUUUUGGACGACAUACUAAACUGAUGUUUUUGUCAUAUUUUGGAAGACAUACUAAACUAUGACAUUUUGGUCACAUUUUGGACGACAUACUAAACUAUGAAGGUUUUUUUCAUAUUUUGGAUGACAUACUAAACUAUGACAUUUUUGUCAUAUUUUGGAUGACAUACUAAAAUAUGACUUUUUUGUCAUAUUUUGGACGACAAACUAUGAUGUUUUUUUCAUGUUUUGGACGACUUACUAAACUGACGUUUUUGGUCACAUUUUGGACGACAUACUAAACUAUGACAUUUUUGUCAUAUUUUGGACGACAUACUAAACUAUGACAUUUUGGUCAAUUUUGGACGACAUACUAAACUAUGAAGGUUUUUUUCAUAUUUUGGAUGGCAUACUAAACUAUGACAUAUUUGUCAUAUUUUGGAUGACAUACUAAACUAUGAAGUUUUUUUUCAUAUUUUGGAUGACAUACUAAACUAUGACUUUUUUCACAUUUUGGACGACAUACUAAACUGACAUUUUUGUCAUAUUUUGGACGACAUACUAAAAUAUGACUUUUUUGUCAUAUUUUGGACGACAUACUAAACGAUGACGUUUUUGUCAUAUUUUGGACAACAUACUAAAAUAUGACGGUUUUGUUAUAUUUUGGAUGACAUACUAAACUAUGACAUUUUUGUCAUAUUUUGGACGACAUACUAAACUGUGACAUUUUGGUCACAUUUUGGACGACAUGCUAAACUAUGACGUUUUUGUCAUAUUUUGAAUGACAUACUAAACUAUGACGUUUUUGUCAUAUUUUGGACGACAUACUAAACUGACGUUUUUGUCAUAUUUUGUACGACAUACUAAACUAUGACAUUUUGGUCACAUUUUGGACGACAUACUAAACUAUGACGUUUUGUCAUAUUUUGGAUGACAUACUAAACUAUGACGUUUUUGUCAUAUUUUGGAUGACAUACUAUGACGUUUUUGUCAUAUUUUGGACGACAUACUAAACUGACGUUUUGGUCACAUUUUGGACGACAUACUAAACUAUGAAGGUUUUUUUCAUAUUUUGGAUGACAUACUAAACUGACUUUUUUUCACAUUUUGGACGACAUACUAAACUGUGAUGUUUUUGUCAUAUUUUGGACAACAUACUAAACUAUGAUGUUUUUUGUCAUAUUUUGGACGACAAACUAUGAUGUUUUUUUCAUGUUUUGGACGACUUACUAAACUGACGUUUUUGGUCACAUUUUGGACGACAUACUAAACUAUGACAUUUUUGUCAGAUUUUGGACGACAUACUAAACUAUGACGUUUUUGUCAUAUUUUGGAUGACAUACUAAACUGACGUUUUUUUCAUAUUUUGGACGACAUACUAAACUAUGACUUUUUUUCACAUUUUGGACGACAUACUAAACUAUGACGUUUUGUCAUAUUUUGGAUGACAUACUAAACUAUGACGUUUUUGUCAUACUUUGGAUGACAUACUAAACUAUGACAUUUUGGUCACAUUUUGGACGACAUACUAAACUAUGAAGGUUUUUUUCAAAUUUUGGAUGACAUACUAAACUAUGACAUUUUUGUCAUAUUUUGGAUGACAUACUAAAAUAUGACUUUUUUGUCAUAUUUUGGACGACAAACUAUGAUGUUUUUUUCAUGUUUUGGACGACUUACUAAACUGACGUUUUUGUCAUAUUUUGGACGACAUACUAAACCAUGACAUUUUUGUCAUAUUUUGGACGACAUACUAAACUGAUGUUUUUUUCAUAUUUUGGACGACAUACUAAACUAUGACUUUUUUUCACAUUUUGGACGACAUACUAAACUAUGACGUUUUUGUCAUAUUUUGGAUGACAUACUAAACUGAUGUUUUUUUCAUAUUUUGGAUGACAUACUAAACUAUGACUUUUUUUCACAUUUUGGACGACAUACUAAACUGACAUUUUUGUCAUAUUUUGGACGACAUACUAAAAUAUGACUUUUUUGUCAUAUUUUGGACGACAUACUAAACGAUGACGUUUUUGUCAUAUUUUGGACAACAUACUAAAAUAUGACGGUUUUGUUAUAUUUUGGACGACAUACUAAACUAUGACAUUUUUGUCAUAUUUUGGACGACAUACUAAACUGUGACAUUUUGGUCACAUUUUGGACGACAUGCUAAACUAUGACGUUUUUGUCAUAUUUUGAAUGACAUACUAAACUAUGACGUUUUUGUCAUAUUUUGGACGACAUACUAAACUGACGUUUUUGUCAUAUUUUGGACGACAUACUAAACUAUGACGUUUUUAUCAUAUUUUGGACGACAUACUAAACUAUGACAUUUUGGUCACAUUUUGGACGACAUACUAAACUAUGAAGGUUUUUUUCAUAUUUUGGAUGACAUACUAAACUAUGACUUUUUUUCACAUUUUGGACGACAUACUAAACUAUGAUGUUUUGGUCACAUUUUGGACAACAUACUAAACUAUGAUGUUUUUUUUCCACAUUUUUGAUGACAUACUAUGACGUUUUUUAUACAAUUUCGACAACAUACUAAAAGAUGACGUAUUUGUGAUAUCUUAGAUUACAUACUAAACUACUAGAAAAGUGGUUCGGAACAAGCCUGGAGAAGCUACAAACCAGACUGUCUUGCCCCUACAGUAAAACAUGGGGGUGGAUCAGUGAUGAUCUGGGGUAGUCUGGGUGGAACAAGGCAAAUGCAAUUGUGUGAAGGGUCAAUGCAGCAGGUCAUGUGCAGGGCUAGUCUUGAAAACAGUCUUCUUCCAUCAGCUGGAAAACUCUUUCCUGCCUCCAAUGACUGGAUUUUCCAACAAGACAAUGCCCCUUGUCACACGGCAAGGUCAGUUAAAGCCUGGAAGGAGAACCAGAACAUUGGAACCGUGCCUUGACCUGCUCAAUCAUCAGAUCUAAAUCCAACUGAAAACCUGUGGAAAGUCAUCAAACGCAAAAUGGAGAACCACAAGCUCAAAAACAAAGCAAAUGUGUUAGAAUUAGUACAACAGGAAUGGACUGCUGUGACAGCAGAACAAUGUCAGAAGCAGGUGGAGAGCAUGCCAAGAUGCAUGGCUGCAGUCAUCAGAAACAAUGGUAAUGCAAUCAAGUACUAACUCCUGUGUGGAUCAUGUGACUAAAACAAACAGAAAAAACAUUGAAUCCUAAAAGUUGUUUUUGCCAGUACAAUGCCAUAGCUAUUGAUGGAAGAACUUAAGGGAUUUUGGUUAUUAUCAAGAAAACUAUGCAAAAUGUCUAGAUAUCAGCUCUUAGAUUAAACCCUUAUGAGCUAUUGUUGUUAUCAUUACAUUUGUCCAAACAAAUGUACCUUUAGUUGUACCAGGCAUUUAAAUGAACAAGAAAUUUAACAAAACAA